UACGGAGGGAGCUAGCGUUAUUCGGAAUUACUGGGCGUAAAGCGCACGUAGGCGGCUUUGUAAGUAAGAGGUGAAAGCCCAGAGCUCAACUCUGGAAUUGCCUUUAAGACUGCAUCGCUUGAAUCAUGGAGAGGUCAGUGGAAUUCCGAGUGUAGAGGUGAAAUUCGUAGAUAUUCGGAAGAACACCAGUGGCGAAGGCGGCUGACUGGACAUGUAUUGACGCUGAGGUGCGAAAGCGUGGGGAGCAAACAGG
rnacentral:rRNA from 1 species